rnacentral:lncRNA from 12 species
AUGUAUUCCACUUGGCUCUGUCUACGGGAUUGUAUCACAUGGCCUCCGUGUUGCCUCCUUAUUGAAAGACAUUUCCAGCCUGUGCAAGGUCAAGAGAGACAGAGAAUUAAUCAUGAACCCAGUUGCCCAGAGGAGAAAAUAAUCUGUUUGUGGCACUCUGAAAAAAGCAAGAAGUUAUACGUAAAUAUGCUUAUCGACAGUGAAUUCUGUACAAGACAUUAGGCGAAAGCAUCGUAGAAAGGAUAUAUGAAGCGUAGCUUUGUCCUUUACCAUCUAAUUGUCUUACGAGGAGAUAAAAUAGAGAUGCAUAGGACUGUAAUUUAAUCAAUCUGCAUUGAUUAUUAAAAGAAUUAAAGAAGAGGUAUGUAUUUAUUUUAAUAUUUUCUUUAUUUAUUCAUGAGAGACACACAGAGAGAGGCAGAGACACAGGCAGAGGGAGAAGCAGGCUCCCAGUGGGGAGCCUAAUGUGGGACUUGAUCCCAGGAUCCCGGCAUCAUGACCAGAGCCAAAGGCAGAUGCUCAACCACUGAGCCACCCAGGUGUCCCUAAAGAAGAAGUAUUUAAAAAGUACACAAUAGGAUAAAAAGGAACAGAAUCCCAGGAAGACAGUCAUAUGAGCAUAGACUUGAAGGCAAAAAGUACAAAGCUAUUAUAGGGCAUGACUGAGUCAGUGUGCUUGGACAUUAGAGGAAGGGAAGGGAAGAGUCUUGGAAAGAUAUGAGUAGAUUGGGGCAGGUUAUGAAUGACUUUACAUCUCACACUGGCAAGUCUGGCUUUCAUUUACUAGAAAUGGGGAGUCAGUGAUGAUUUGGAGCAGGGAGUGAUACAAGCAGAGUGUUGCUUUCAGAACACUGUCCUCAAAAAUGGGUGCAGGGCGGGACUCAUUGAAGUCAAGAGAGCUUGGGGCCAUGAUGCUCAGUCACAAGGCUCUCAGUCGACUCAGCGCAAGCUAAUAGUGACCUCACCUAGGUAAGUAGAGAUUAGAAGACAAAAAAAUUAAAACUAUAAGAACAAAUAUGGAAAAGCAAGACUCCAUAUAUGUGGGCUAAGUAAGGAGAUAUAGAAGACUCUGAAAUUUUAAAAUGGAAUAACAAUGGCUCCACCGAGAGACAGCCAGUAUAUGAGGAAUGAUGUCAAACUCAGUUUUAAACAUUUAAAGAGUAAGAAAAUGUUUCAAACUCUGCCUGUGAGAAAUCUCCCUUUUCAAACUUAGACUUGAACUGUGAAGUAGUAAAGUCUAAUGAUACCUUCUUGUAGUUUAUAAAGUCACUUUAAAGUACAAACAAGAAGGAAAACAAGAGCAUUUCAUGUCUUCUUUGUCUAAUCUCCAAUAAAACUGAUUAUUCAACAUCCA